CCCGCGAUGACCGGAGGAGGAGCCAGCGGCAGAACCGGAGGCGUAGGGUGCUGCGAAUGCAGAGUCCCUAGACUGGGCAUGCGCACUCCGGACCCCUGAGCCGAUUUAAAGAGGGUGGCUGCAAGCUCCUCCUCCGACCUGAGGCGGUCAGACAAGGCUCCUAAAUGAUGGGGGGCGGAACCUGCUGAGAAGGGGUCCUACAGUUAAGGGCUGAGGGGAGGAGUCACCUUGGGAGGAGGGGUCACAAUGACUAGCGGACUCACUCUGAAAGGUCUCGGUGCGUGGGAGGAACACGUAGAGGAGGGGAUUAUGCAGCACCGAGGGUCUAGUUUUCUGCGCUGCUGGUCCGCGGAGCCCAGGAAUCGGACAGCUUCCUCAGCCGGGCCCUGGACAGACAGUGACCCGUGGUAGGAGAGGAAGGACUCCCGGGGCAGCUAAAAGACGUCCGAGCUUCGCGAGCGCACACCCAGCUCUUCGUUCCCUUCAGUUCGUCUAGUGCAGCCCAAACUUGGCCCCGGCGCGCCGGCCGCUCCCCGGGAAGCGGCGGCCGCGCCCGGAGCUAGCACACCUGAGG
rnacentral:lncRNA from 1 species